CCUCGGGACUGUAUCCUCUCAUCUAUUUUCAAUGUAAUGACUAUUGCUUCCUCCACAGGUCCGAAUUCAGUACUGAAGAAUCUGCUCAGAGUUUAGAAGGAACCGCAUGUCCUGGGAUGUCGCCACGUCUGUUGGUCUUUGCUUUCUAUUCAACACCAAAGAAUUGCAUCAUGGUGUAUCAACGCAGUCUUGUGCAUGAAGAAGAAGUGACUUGCAGAGCAAAGAAACAAAAUACCAAUUAGCCACAGUGGUAUUAUUAAGCACUUGAAAAGUAAGUAACAGAGGCUACCUGAAGAGCCUUGUAAUUGCCCUUAGCUGCAGCGCUGUGCACUGGUGUGAGACCUAGUUUGUUCCCCUGGAAAACUCUGGCACCAUUCUUCAGCAGGAGCCACACAAUCCUGCACAAAGACAGAAGACAACUAAGGACACUUGGAAAUAGCGAGAACAACCAUCUUACAGUUUAGCUGUUAAUGAACCAGAAUUUUGAAGAAGAGCACCUUGGCUCCUGUGUGCUUGAGCUACUACUGAGGCACCAGUGAAGUGCCGUGUUUCCUUCGGGGUCGGUUUCAUUGACAUCAACAUCCCCCAUCAGAAGCAUCUUCGUGACAUUCAUAUCUCCGGCCUGCACAAGGAAUCAAUCAUCGCAAGUUUUUCUAAUGUACAAGAUGCAGCUUGUUAGGCUUGGCACGAUUACAGCAAUAUUGCAUCAACUGAACAUAAGAAAAUGCACAGCUGCUUCUAGAUGAUGCGUAAACACAAAGCGUGUAGCUCAUAAUCAUAGUAACUCAUUUCAUGUAUUAUUUUAGGAGUCUUUCCUAAAAUAAGGUGUGGACCUCACUGGUUACUCACUUAACUUCAUGGCAGUCGUAGCAACUAA